CUUAGCUUUUUUUUUUUUUCUGAUGUAAAAUAAAUAAUCCAUGCAGACAAUGGAAAGUAAUGGUCUAAGGACUGAAAACUCUAAAUCAAGCAAUGGGCCAUGGAAGCAGAGCUGUGUGGAGGUGAAGGGCACCCUCAGGACUUAUUUAUAUGUAUCUAGGACUAAACCAGAGGCUUGGCAGUGUGGGAGCAAGAAGAAUCUGGGUACCAUGUGAAAGCAGCCCCUUAAUGCAGCAAAAGCCCCGAGCAGCUCCUCAGGAUCUGGUGGUGUGUAGUGCAGUGGCCAAGGGAAUGAGUUCGAGCAGGCAGAGGUUGCCCCAUGUUCUCCUCCACCACGUGUGACCUUGGUCCUUCAGGGGCAAGCCAGCAUGAGGGAUGAAUGAAUACACAUGAGGGAGCAAAGAAAAGGCAGGGGAUCAAGCCAGAAGGAACUGUAGAGGAAGGCAGCUGUCCUUUGCUUCUUCAUGUACAACCUGGCCUUGACAUUUUACAACUUCACAUCUUGCCAAACACAGAACUCCCGAAACAAAGUGCUUUUGGAGUGGUGUGAGUGAUGCUCCUGCUCCUGCUUCCCAAACUGCUCCAAAGCUGCCAUGGACAGCAUGGGGACCAAAGCUGAGAUUUGGAAGGUGAUGAGAGAAACAAUACAACCAGAACCCUGUCUCCACAACCUGAAGUAAAGAAGAAAUCUUACAUCACGGAUAAACUCAUUUUUCUGCUGAUGAUGAAGGGUGAGUUUAUGCAUGAGCUAUUGCUGUUUAUACUUCCAGGGAUGCUAAAUUACAAAUGCAGAUGAGGGCUGCAUUAUAACACUUGUGAAACAGCUUUCUGAACCCUUUGGCAGGGCUGUUGAACUAAACACAAAGCCUUUAUCUCUCUGAAUCUCUCAGGGCAUAUUAAUCCUUCACUUAGAGGUUUGUCAGAUGAAAAGCUGCUUGAAUGGUUUGAUAUUUUUUUGAUUGUGUCUGGAUUGUAUUGGUGCUGGGUACAGAUCACAUAAAGCCAGAGUCAGGAGUCCCAGAAAGCUCCUGUGACGUGCAGGACAUGGCACUGCCCUGCUGCUGCUGCUGCUGCUGCAGGGAGCUGAGGGAGCAGCCCAGCACCUGGACCUUCACUGAGGAGCCCAGCAGUAGGUCUGGCACACAGCCCACUGUGCAGGGAGGAGUUUGUCUGUCUGGAGAGGGUAAGCCAGGCCUU